rnacentral:rRNA from 1 species
AGUGAACGCUGGCGGUAGGCCUAACACAUGCAAGUCGAACGGCAGCACAGUAAGAGCUUGCUCUUACGGGUGGCGAGUGGCGGACGGGUGAGGAAUACAUCGGAAUCUACUUUUUCGUGGGGGAUAACGUAGGGAAACUUACGCUAAUACCGCAUACGACCUACGGGUGAAAGCAGGGGAUCUUCGGACCUUGCGCGAUUGAAUGAGCCGAUGUCGGAUUAGCUAGUUGGCGGGGUAAAGGCCCACCAAGGCGACGAUCCGUAGCUGGUCUGAGAGGAUGAUCGGCCACACUGGAACUGAGACACGGUCCAGACUCCUACGGGAGGCAGCAGUGGGGAAUAUUGGACAGUGGGCGCAAGCCUGAUCCAGCCAUACCGCGUGGGUGAAGAAGGCCUUCGGGUUGUAAAGCCCUUUGUUGGGAAAGAAAAGCAGCAGGUUAAUACCCCGCUGUUCUGACGGUACCCAAAGAAUAAGCACCGGCUAACUUCGUG